GGCCUACGGGACGCAGCAGUGGGGAAUAUUGCACAAUGGGGGAAACCCUGAUGCAGCGACGCCGCGUGAAGGAAGAAGUAUUUCGGUAUGUAAACUUCUAUCAGCAGGGAAGAAAAUGACGGUACCUGACUAAGAAGCCCCGGCUAACUACGUGCCAGCAGCCGCGGUAAUACGUAGGGGGCAAGCGUUAUCCGGAUUUACUGGGUGUAAAGGGUGCGUAGGUGGCAGGGCAAGUCAGAUGUGAAAGCCCGGGGCUCAACCCCGGUACUGCAUUUGAAACUGUCCAGCUGGAGUGCAGGAGAGGG
rnacentral:rRNA from 1 species